AUGGAUCACAACCCGGAGAUCAUUUGCUGGAACGUGAGAGGGCUUAAUAACCCUGCCAAGAGGAAGGUAGUUAGGGAGUUUCUUUCUUCGCUUAUAGUAAACCUAGUCUGCUUACAAGAGACCAAGCUCGAGACUGUAGACCAGUUUGUUGUAUUGCAAUGUUUAGGGCCAUCCCUUGAUGGCUUUGCCUACUUGCGUGCUGUGGAAACGCGUGGUGGUAUCUUACUGGGUUGG
rnacentral:rRNA from 1 species